AAGGCUGCGUGCGCCCUGUGGAUCUCAGUGGGGCCCCCAAGCCUGGCCUGGCCCCCGAGCUGCACUUUACCUUCCCCAUCGAGACCAUUGUGUGCCUUCAGGACAGCGUGCUGGCCUUCUGGAAGCAUGGCAUGCAGGGCCGCAGCCUGCAGGAUGCACAGGUGACGCAGGAGAUCACGGAUCAGUCGCGGGUCUUCCGGGUGCUGGGAGCGCACAGG